UACGGAGGAUGCAAGCGUUAUCCGGAAUGAUUGGGCGUAAAGCGUCCGCAGGUGGCUGUGUAAGUCUGCUGUUAAAGCGUGAGGCUCAACCUCAUAAAAGCAGUGGAAACUACACAGCUAGAGUGCGUUCGGGGCAGAGGGAAUUCCUGGUGUAGCGGUGAAAUGCGUAGAGAUCAGGAAGAACACCGGUGGCGAAGGCGGCAUCCUGGACCGGCAUUGACGCUGAGGCGCGAAAGCCAGGGGAGCAAACGGG
rnacentral:rRNA from 1 species